AAAACUCUCUCUGUUUCUUUUCUCAGGCUCCGAUUUCGGAGAUGGCCCGGCCAAGGCUUCCGGCGAGUCUCCGCCGUAGAGCCACCGUGUGUGGCGGCCGGAGGUCCAAAAUCGGACCUUUUCGGUCCUUUUUUGAAGUCCAUGGCCUCCAGGCCAUAGAUCUAGGGGCUGAAUCUCCUGAAUCGGAAGCCGAAGACUCGAAAAAUGGGGUGAAAUCCUUCGCCUUCCUUCCCCUUCCGGCGCAGCACAGGUAAGGUUUUGUUUUAACUCCUUUUUACUACCUUUAUUUUUAUACAUAUGAAGAGAAAAGAGAGCAAAAUAAAUAAAAAACAUCAAAACUGAAAAGAAAGAGACCUUGAAUCUGCCUUUUUUUUAUUUCCUUUGGUUGAAUCUAUUCUUGUUUUUGUUACAAAAGUUCCCCGGGCUCCUCAAAAAAGAGUUAUAUUCAUGGCUUUUAUAGCCGAUAUUAAUUCCUAUUUUUUGUUUUCUUUUUCCUUUCUUUUCUUUGACUGUUGCGUGUUUGUUUCUCUUUGCAGGUGCAAGUGGCAUGGGAGCGGCAGAGCAGGUGGAGCAGGUGAGCAGCGUGCGGCGGCCAGCAAGUGAACGGCGGAGUUGGUGGGUCUGCUG
rnacentral:lncRNA from 1 species